UGCUGCAGAACCUCAAAUCACAGAGCCUGUCGACAACUGUAAAUUCACCAGCAGUAACAGUUUCUGUCAAACAUCACAGACUGAAGAGAAUCUGGCGAAAUCGAUUAAUUGUGUCGCUCAAUCAAAUCUGAUCUUCACUGAGGAAAACCAAAAGCUUCUGAUUACUGAGCUCUCCAGGACACUGCAGACACUGACGUCCAAAUUGAUGACAAACUCCUCUCAAAACAUCACAGCCUUGUUUGCAGAACUGCCAGCAGAAAGCUUCACAUCUGGAAAUCUUGAUGAUGUGGAUUUCAUGAGAUUCUGGUUCCAAAUUAAGAUGAAGCCCCUUCUACCUCAAAUUCCACGUGAAUUCCUGUCUUGCUUCAACACACGUGGCUUCAGCUGCCAGGCCUACAGGGCACUUUAUGUGGAACUAAAUAAUAAUUCUGGACUGAUGGAUAGUGCAACACAGAUGUCUGUCCUCAAGGACUUCAUUUUUCCAUUCCUGUCGAAACGUCAAAGCACAGGUGUCGACUGCACAUUGCCAUUUACCAACAGUGUGGACUUCAUCCUGCAAAACUUUGGCAGUUUCUCUCCGUUGGUUCAACUUCAGGACUUUUCCAAUUUCAGCCGCAAUUUUUCAGCUGUGGAUGCUCUUCCUGUUCUCACAAUGGGCCAACUGGUGGAACUGGUGUUCAAUCCUCCUGCUAAACCAGAAGACAGAAGAGACAUCCUCACAAGAGUCUUUGACUUCCUUCUUCAAGCCCCCAACAGAGACAAACUUAACAACUUCCUCCCGUCUCUUCAGACACAGGCCAGAAAGGCCAACUUCAGUUGUGAUAACUACAAAGUCAUCUUUGAGAGGAUUGAUCAGGCAUUAUCAUCAAUCGCUCCUAACCAGUCUGAAGCCCUGCUGACGAUCAGAGACUCAGUGAUGAUGAUUCCUCCUGAUAAUUGCAUCGAGAAAGCGAGCACUUGCAUAACAACUCCUGUAGAUGAGGCGGCUCUCUGUGCAGGUGUCGACAGCGCUGCUUUGAAUCAAAUCUUGAACAGAACGCCUCAAAAUGCAACAGGACUUUGUAACUUCACUGUGUUGCAGUUUGCCUGUCAACCAGUGCUGUCGCAGUUAAGCUCUCAACAAGUGGCUGACCUUUUGGCUUGCAAACUGUCCAGCAAUGUGACAAAAGACACCUGGAAGCUUUUCUUCACCAAAAUAGGCACAAAUCUUGAUGAUGCACUGCUGAAAAUUUUCAACAACACUCCCAGUGCCAGCAAUGCGUCUUUGUCCAAUGUGCUGGAUGUGAUUGCUGAUGUCCGGAUCAAUCGCCUUAGUCCUCAGAGACUGAGAGAUCCUGCCUUUAUUCAGUCAUGGUUCCAGGGGCGACUAAAUCCCUUCUUACCAUCACUAUCUCAAAGUCUCCUGUCCUGCCUCAGCACUAAAAACCUCACCUGUGAAACAUACCGCACUAUCACUACGACGUUUGUGAAUGCACCUCUUCGAGAUGGACAAGACAUUUGCAAUCCACUGCAACCCACUCAAAGACAGGAUCUGAUCUACACAAACUUCAUGAAAGCCUUCCUCUCUCGCAGUGACAUUAAUGAUCUCGGCUGCCUUAAUAACACAGCCAACAGUACGCAGUGGGUCAACAGAAACUUUGGGCCAUUCGUUCAGUCAGCUACCCUAAAGGACCUUGAGGCACUGAACAGAAACUUCAGUGCGAUGGAGGUUCUACCUCAACUGAGUCUAAGACAACUAUUUGAGCUUUCUGUCAGUACUCGGGUAGUAAAUGAUCCACAAAGCAUCAUCAGUGUCAUGCAGCAAGUGAAGGAUUGCCAGCUUCCUGUUUUCUUUGACCUCUUUUCCCCGAAUGUGCAGAACAUCUCUCUCACCCAAGAUGUAAAAGCAGCACUGAUUAAACAGAUAUUUGAAAGAGCCAACCUGUCUAAUCUAAACAUCACAAAUCAGGAAGUUGACGUUUGGAUCCAGAAGAGAUUAAAUCCUCUGUUAACCAACCUUUCAGAAAGCCUUGUGUCUCCAUUUUUCACCAUCCUCAACAAAAGGGACUGCAAUAUCACUCAAUCCACACUGGGGCUCUUAGAUGCUGUUCGACCUUCAUUACCCAAUAACACAAAAAAUGCAAUCUACAAUAGCAUUCUUCAAUCCUUCAUAGGGCCACAGCCUCUGAGGUGCUACAGAAACAACAGCUUUAUCAAGUUCUUAAACGAAAGCCUGUAUGGCUUCGGGCCGCUUCCAAAUCUGAACAUCUUCCUCUCUCUGAUACCACCAACACGGAGAUCUGAGCUUGUAAACUCCAUAGCUCCUUCUGAGCUGGGAAGCUACUUGAGACAGCCGGAAGUGGUGAACAACGGUUCCCAAAUCUGUGUGAUCUUUAACAACUUUACCAGAACGCCUGAGUUCUUGGAUACGGAAGAGGUUCCAGAUGAUGUUAAAAGCACCAUCCUUCCCUGUGUCUGGCCUCUGGCGUUGACAAGUGACAAUGAGACAGAGAUUGAUCUGUGGUUUAACCGUAGACUGAAGCUGUACUUGAAGUUCCUGAACAAAGAUACAAUUAGAUCAAAAGACACACUGAGCGCAUCAUGCCAAUCAUACAAGAAAAUGGUCAGUGUCUUAGGCAGCAAUUUCACCUUUAAUGGUUCUCAGAUUACCACUGAGGAUGUGUACGCCACCAUCAAGACAUAUCUGACAGCAGGUCAAUUAGUCUUCUUUUUCUUCAUAAGGAUGCUUGUUCUUUGCUUAAGAAUGCAAUAA
rnacentral:lncRNA from 1 species